AAUUGAUAAUUGGUCACAUGUUGACAGAAAAUCCAGAAGAAGACACAUACAAAAUUUGCGCGAGUUGCUAUUAUGCUAUGUCAAUGCUUUCAAUAUUUGGAAGCCAGUUUUAGCCCACUAGCAUUCUAGCAACAAUGGACCAUUGCUUUGUAUUGUACGUAAUAUGGCACCUGUCUAUUCUUGCUUUGCUGGUAAUAGCUGCAGAUCAAGUAAAUCUAGCAGGGAAGUGUGAGAGAUAUAUCUUUACGCAUUAUGACAAGGAAUGAUGCACAAGCUAUACCUUUUUUUAUCCAGCUUUUUGUUGUGUCUUACAGUAGGGAAAGGACACAACUGCACCAAGAAAACAUCUUUCAAUGAAGAAUGCUCCAUAAGGUAUGACUUGGUAACAGGACUUGCGAAAGCGGUUUUCGAUGAAAUGAACUGCGAGACUUGGUACAAUAAACAGUUCUGUAUUUGCAAUAGUGAUUUAACUAUCUGGUACUUCAACUCACCUCCAUACGUGUUUACGUUGCCAAAUGGAACUCUGGAUGGCAUUCUUCCAGCAAUGUUAAAGCUGGCUUUGAAAGCAUGUUGCAAGAACUGCACACGCCUGUUUUAUCAGAAACCAUUCAAAUCGAUGGUGGAGCUGUCGAAACAAUUUUACAAUGUUUCAUAUUACCAAGUGUUAAUGCCAGCGAUCGGCAUCAAAGAAGCAAGAUACUACUUUAGCAAUCCGUAUGUGAGAUUGAUUAAUAGUCCUGGAGUGGCAUUUAUCUAUCCUGAUAACAUUGGGGAUGUCGUCAUGAACAGGCUUCUCAAGUCUCUAUAUGAAGCAUGGCCCCUGUUUGCACUCAUUUUGCUGUUGACUAUUCAAGGAGGAGUCAUCAUAUGGUUGCUGGAUACAAGAAAAAACCCCGACGAGUUCCCACAAUCCUUCAUUCGGGGAUCUCUUGAAGGAAGCUGGUGGGCAUACAUCUCCAUGACAACUGUCGGGUACGGUGAUAAGUCUCCGCGUUCUUUUGGAGGCAGAGUCUUUGCUGUAUUCUGGAUAACAACAGGAAUUGUUAUAUCAGGGAUUUUUACAGCUUCUAUUUCCUCGACUCUUACCUCAGCAGCUAUUGGCGAAACAACGAAAAUAAAUGGCAAAACUGUUGGAUUUCUGAGGCAUGUUGCAAUCGGGUACGAAGAGAACAUAAUAUAUAGAGACGGUGCAAACGCAAUAGGGUAUCGGAACAUAUCUCACUUGAUAAAUGCUUUGAAAAACGAAUCAAUCCAAGGUAUCCUGAUAGAUAGAUACACUUUAAGAUACUACUGGAAACACUUCGCAAAUUCUGGUAUCAAACUAAUAAUAAAGAAAGAUAUCAAGAACACGGACACUGGCUUUGGAUUGACAUUUUCUAGCAAGAGAUAUGAGGACUGGGCACAUUUUUUGCGAACAUUUAUCGAAGAAAACAAAGAUGCCGAAAGUCGCCUUCUUAAGAUGCAAUCAGUGAGAUGGCAUGGAAGCUGCCAGAGGAAUCUACAGACGAUACGGAUGUCACAAACAAUGCACUUGGGUCAACCUCAGUAUAUCAAAAAAUGUUGGUAGCCAUGGCUAUUUCUUGCAGUAUAACUGUGGGGAUAGGCCUAAUAAGUACAGCAGGACAUAGGCUAUACAAAUCAAAGAAAAGUGUACCAAUAUCAGUGAAAGAUCGUGAAAUGUCGGUGUUUAGCAACGGUACAAUAUCAGCAAGGUUUGAUGAAUUCUCAAAGGAAGUGGAGAGCAACGUCCUUGAAAAUCUUAGAAACGAAAUUGACAAACUUCGAGAGGAUUUUGUAAAGAGAUACAAAGAUACUAAAUCUUGAAAAUUUUAAGCAUACUAUACACAUUCUCACCAGAAAUUUAUAGUAAUUGCGACUAAACAUAAACAACAUUUGAUCUCGCGCUUCAAACCCAAGAAGUAUUUUUCACAACCUGAUCAUCAAUAGUGGCUUAUUGAAUCAAAGGGCCUACAAAAGUCAUGUUGUCAAUCUGAAACUUAAUUACCGCUCUCCUUCACUACUUUAUUCAUCAAUAACAAUUCAUAUUACCAAUAUUUGGGAGUUGAUAAAUGAGAAACCAGGCUGUUCAUUCUAGAAUGUCAAUUUGAAGGCAGAAGCCCCAGAUUCACAUCAGCUAUUAGUUGCCAAAACCCUGACCUGUGCCAACAAAUCAAAUCUUGUUUACUUGCUUAUCAGAUUGAGCAUUUGCUGAUGCUAAAAAGUAGAAUAAUCUAUGCACAAAAACAAUGCUUUGCUUUUUAAAGAUUAGAGAAAUGAAUUAAUAAACCACGUGCUACACAAGGCACUUACCAUUUAGUCUUGUUUAUCGUUACUGUCUUUGCUACUGAAUCUUGAAUGAAAAUCAUAAGACACAGCAAUUGCUUCCUCCCUCAAUUUUUGUCUCCUUUUAUUCUCUGCUGACUUUUUCUUGUCCCGCUGCAUUCUCUGCCCAACACUACUGUCUUCUCCCUUUAUCAUAUACUCAAGCUUUUCAAACAAGAUCUUUCUGGCAAUCUUUCUGUUCUCUAAAAGUGAUCUUGUCUGAUGACACUAGCAAGCAAAAUGAGUCAAAUUUCAGUCUUUUUUAUGAAGGAUUAGGAUUCUGUAAUUAUUUACAAAUGAAAAAAUUGCUUUGAAAGAAAACAAAAAUUUCACAACACGCUAAGAGCUUUUUUAUCUAACACUCUACAGAGUAUAAAAUGCCAGAAUAAAGGUCUGAAAGAAGACAAUGAAAAAUAUAUACCCAUAAUGGAUCAAAAUAGGCUAAUCACAAAAAUGCAAGCACAUGACCAGCAUAAUUGUCCAAUAAGUGCCAGGUGCAUACAGAAAAAAUAACCAUUGGAGCACAAGAGAGAAAACAAACUUUUUCUGUCUACACAAUAGACGCUUGUUCGUUUGUAUGUAGAUCAAUUCCAAAACUAUUAGAAAAGGACCACUGGACUCUGGCAAUUACCUGAAAAAUGUCAUCAUUAUAGAGUUUUGCACAAUCCAGGUUGUCUAAAAGGCGUUGUCUGAUGGCAGAGUCACUAGUUUUUACUGUGUUUUUAGAUCUACAAGGUCAAGGAGGCUGUUCUCUUUGAGCGACAGUUUUGUUUCUUAUGUUGCAUUGGAAGGAACAUGUUGUUUUAUCCAAUCCCCCCAAGAUUCAAGAUAAUUUUUUCCAAAAUAUAGUAACAAAGGAAGAUGGCAUGUGUCUAUUACUGAAUUUGGCAGGAUUCCUGUGAUUUUCACACCUAUAGAAACUUUAGAAAAAUCA